AUAAGUUUUUAAUUCUAAUUUAUAAGUCCAAAAUUCCGUAAAUAAAUCAUUGCUGGAUUAUUGUUGUUGUGAUUAUUUAUUUUUCUGAGGGGAAGAGGUUUUGUAAGCUCUUGAGAAAUUAAUAAUUGGAGCAUGGGUAUUCAGUUCUGCUCUCACAUUUUAAAGAAAGCCAUCACUGAUCUACUACUCUUUUUAUUAUAAAUUUCUGAAUCACCCUGCUCUUGAUGGUCUUUUAAGUGAUAAAGAUUGAAAGGCUUUCUAGUAAACUCAAUUAAUGUCUUAAUCAAUGGUAAGGGAUGAUAGAUGGUCAAGCGUGCUACUGGGGAAAGCUUUCACUUGCAAAUAUUUUAAACAAGACAAGUUUAUGGAGGUAUGUCACGUUAAGUAUUAUUUAUUUCUUUAAUUAUUUUUAUUGUUACACUAAAUAAAGAGAAGUUAAGUUUUCAGUUUUACAGAAACAUUUACUUUUUCCCUUUGGCUACUGAAGUAAUAUGAUAAUGAUGCCUCUCUACUGUGGGAUUAAAGUCUCACCAGUUUGCCCUAGCAAACCUCUUUUUUUUUCUCUAUGGGAUACUAAAUUGUAGAAAAUGACAGCUUAACUGUCUAUUUUGCAGAUUGAUGUAGGCAUUGGAUCUUCAUCAUUUGCAAGAGGUGUCAUUGACCUUGUCUUGGGAUAUGUCACAAGCUUGGUGAUUGACCUGGCUAUUUUGAUAGAGGUUUGUGUCUUGAUACUAAGGGAUAUGUUUUCUGUUUAUCAACUAGCAUUUCUUCAUUUUGUGUGGUCUGUCUAGUUAUAAUUUAAUUUCAGACCUUUAAAGAAAUAUGCUCUAGAGGGAUUUCUAUGUACAUGAUCCACUAUUUUAACUGUCAAAAUACUCUGUAGUGGACAAUUAGAAAGAUGUUAUA